CACAGUUCGAGCUUGAAUUGCGUUUCGUAGGUUACGUCUACGUUAAAACGUUACAGUUAAAUAUAACUGCUAAAAACGAAAACAACUCUUACGCUUUAGCUGCCUAAAAACAGUUAGCGUAGAUCCUCUCGGCAUCGCCCAUGUGCUCGAGUAAGGGUCUCAAAUUUAGUGGGAUACGUUAAACUUUUCCGUCUGUAAAGUUUAAAAGAGAUCAUCAGACUAGCAAUACAGAAUGCCUGUCACUCGGCAAGCUGUAAAGCGAAACCUCAAAUGAGUUGACUAUGAACGUAGAUUUUUAAGUGUCGAUGUG
rnacentral:tmRNA from 12 species